rnacentral:rRNA from 1 species
UUGAAGAAAGCAAGGG